UCUGGUGGCCGAAUGCCGCCAUGAUGAAAGGGAAUCCGGUGAAAAUCCGGAACUGUACCUGCAGCUGUAAUCCUCUUUUUUAGCGUGGUCUGCUUGUAUAACGCCACUGACACCAUUUGUCGGGAAGGCAGAGCAGACUGAGGAAAGUCAGAAGACCUGCCAACAAUUC
rnacentral:ncRNA from 1 species